rnacentral:rRNA from 1 species
UACGAGGGGGGCAAGCGUUGUUCGGAUUUACUGGGCGUAAAGGGCGCGUAGGCGGCGCUGUAAGUCACUUGUGAAAUCUCCGGGCUUAACUCGGAACGGUCAAGUGAUACUGCAGUGCUAGAGUGCAGAAAGGGCAAUCGGAAUUCUUGGUGUAGCGGUGAAAUGCGUAGAUAUCAAGAGGAACACCUGAGGCGAAGGCGGGUUGCUAGGCUGACACUGACGCUGACAGCGCGAAAGCCAGGGGAGCAAACGGG